CCCGACCGUUGUUGCUACCUUGACGUGGUAAUCGAGCUUGCCUAACGUGAUGAACCAAUCCAGCUAUAUUGGCUAGAACAAUCGUUCCUCAAGGUCCUACCAUGCCAGACAGGUCGGUUGAAGAACAGUAAGACUAAAAGCAGC
rnacentral:ribozyme from 1 species